rnacentral:rRNA from 1 species
CCUACGGGAGGCUGCAGUGAGGAAUAUUGGUCAAUGGGCGCGAGCCUGAACCAGCCAAGUAGCGUGAAGGAUGACUGCCCUACGGGUUGUCAACUUCUUUUAUAAAGGAAUAAAGUGAGGCACGUGUGCCUUUUUGUAUGUACUUUAUGAAUAAGGAACGGCUAACUCCGUGCCAGCAGCCGCGGUAAUACGGAGGAUCCGAGCGUUGUCCGGAUUUAUUGGGGUUAAAGGGAGCGUAGAGGGGUUGUUAAGUCCGUUGUGACAGUUUGCGGCCCCACCGUAAAAUUGCACUUGAUACUGGCAGUCUUGAGUACAGUUGAGGUAGGCGGAAUUCGUGGUGUAGCGG